GACGAACGCUGGCGGCGUGCUUAACACAUGCAAGUCGAACGGAAAGGCCCUGCUUUUGUGGGGUGCUCGAGUGGCGAACGGGUGAGUAACACGGGAGUAACCUGCCCUUGACUUUGGGAUAACUUCAGGACACUGGGGCUAAUACCGGAUAGGAGCUCCUGCUGCAUGGUGGUGGUUGGAAAGUUUCGGCGGUUGGGGAUGGACUCGCGGCUUAUCAGCUUGUUGGUGGGGUAGUGGCUUACCAGGGCUUGGAGGGGUGGCCGGCCUGAGUGGGUGACCGGCACAAUUGGGACUGGGAUACGCCCCAGACUCCUACGGGAGGCAGCAGUGGGGAAUAUGGCACAAUGGGCGGAAGCCUGAUGCAGCAACGCCGCGUGCGGGAUGACGGCCUUCGGGUUGUAAACCGCUUUCGCCUGUGACGAAGCGUGAGUGACGGUAAUGGGUAAAGAAGCACCGGCUAACUACGUG
rnacentral:rRNA from 1 species